GUUUGUCGCCUUCACCUAUUGUGGAGGCAACCGGGGCCCUUGGGAAUGACGGGUUCUCCGUCGGUGGUGAGGUUGCCUUCGACUCUGCUAAUGGGUCACUAAUUAAGUACAACGCUGGUGUCGGUCUGGUUAAGCCCGACUUCAACGCCUCCAUAAUCUUGUAAGCCUUGACCAGUUCACGAUCAAAUUGUUGGUGGCACUUUCAAUUAUUGUUAUUGCAGCACAAAUUUCUUGGAGCUAAGCACCUCCAGGCUGUCCAUUCCUUGAUUGUGUUAGCUCCUUUGCAAACACAGGGCUGAGAAAGGCGACUUGCUGAAGGCUUCUUACCUACACACAGUGAGCCCAAUUUCAAGGACGACCAUGGCUGCUGAGAUCGCUCACAGGUUUUCCAAGAAUGAGAACACGUUUACUGUCGGAGGUUUGUACGAGUUGGACACUCUAACCACUGUGAAGGCUCGAUUGAACAACCAUGGAAAGUUAGCUGCCCUACUCCAGCACGAGUGGAGGCCGAAGUCUCUGGUCACCUUAUCUGGGGAGGUGGAUACUAAGUCCUUGGAUAAGACAGCGAAGAUCGGUUUGGCUUUGGCUCUCAAGCCAUGAGAAGAUGAACUUAAGUCCUUAACUUUGGACUACUCUUACUGGGUGGUGCUUACGACUAGAACGGUGUGCUGCG
rnacentral:lncRNA from 1 species